rfam:Camelus ferus unplaced genomic scaffold scaffold172, whole genome shotgun sequence.
GAAGGUAUAAGCUUAGUGAUAGAGCAUGUGCUUAGCAUGCAUUAGGUCCUGGGUUCAACCCCCAGUACCUCCA